rnacentral:rRNA from 1 species
GAUGAACGCUAGCGGCAGGCCUAACACAUGCAAGUCGAGGGGUAGAAGGAGCUUGCUCCUUUGAGACCGGCGCACGGGUGCGUAACGCGUAUGCAAUCUACCUUGUACAGGGGAAUAGCCCAGAGAAAUUUGGAUUAAUGCCCCAUAGUAUAUAACCUUCGCAUGUUGGUUAUAUUAAAGUUCCAACGGUACAAGAUGAGCAUGCGUCCCAUUAGUUAGUUGGUAAGGUAACGGCUUACCAAGACGAUGAUGGGUAGGGGUCCUGAGAGGGAGAUCCCCCACACUGGUACUGAGACACGGACCAGACUCCUACGGGAGGCAGCAGUGAGGAAUAUUGGUCAAUGGUCGCAAGUCUGAACCAGCCAUGCCGCGUGCAGGAAGACGGUCCUAUGGAUUGUAAACUGCUUUUAUACAGGAAGAAACCCUCCCACGUGUGGGAGCUUGACGGUACUGUAGGAAUAAGGAUCGGCUAACUCCGUG